rnacentral:rRNA from 1 species
GAUGAACGCUAGCGGCAGGCCUAACACAUGCAAGUCGAGGGGUAACAUAGAAAAGCUUGCUUUUCUGAUGACGACCGGCGCACGGGUGCGUAACGCGUAUACAACCUACCUUUUAGCGGGGAAUAGCCCAGGGAAACUUGGAUUAAUGCCCCAUAGUAUAUGGACUUCUCCUGAAGUUUAUAUUAAACAUUUAUGGCUAUUAGAUGGGUAUGCGUCCUAUUAGUUAGUUGGUAAGGUAACGGCUUACCAAGGCAGCGAUAGGUACGGGGUCCUGAGAGGGAGACUCCCCACACUGGUACUGAGACACGGACCAGACUCCUACGGGAGGCAGCAGUGAGGAAUAUUGGACAAUGGGCGAGAGCCUGAUCCAGCCAUGCCGCGUGCAGGAAGACUCGCCCUAGUGGGUUGUAAGCUGUCUUUUACAGAGGAAGAACCCACCCCACGUGUGGGGGUUUGACGGUACUCUGCGAAUAAGGAUCGGCUAACUCCGUG